GACGGAGGAUGCAAGUGUUAUCCGGAAUCACUGGGCGUAAAGCGUCUGUAGGUGGUUCGAAAAGUCCACUGUUAAAAAUUGAGGCUUAACUUCAAAGAUGCCGUGGAAACUUUCAAACUAGAGUAUGGUAGGGGUAGAGGGAAUUUCCAGUGGAGCGGUGAAAUGCGUAGAUAUCAUUUGGAACGCCAAUGGUGAAAACAACUCGCUGGGGAAGUGCUGACGCUGAGACACGAAAGCCAGGGGAGCGAACGGG
rnacentral:rRNA from 1 species